UACGUAGGCAGCGAGCGUUGUUCGGAGUUACUGGGCGUAAAGCGUGCGUAGGCGGUGGCCCAAGUCUGGUGUGAAAUCUCCCGGCUUAACUGGGAGGGUGCGCCGGAAACUGGGUUGCUGGAGUACCGGAGAGGCAAGCGGAAUUCCUGGUGCAGCGGUGAAAUGCGUAGAUAUCAGGAGGAACACCCGUGGUGUAGACGGCUUGCUGGACGGUCACUGACGCUGAGGCACGAAAGCGUGGGGAGCAAACAGG
rnacentral:rRNA from 1 species